CCUACGGGCGGCAGCAGUAGGGAAUCUUCCACAAUGGACGAAAGUCUGAUGGAGCAACGCCGCGUGAGUGAAGAAGGGUUUCGGCUCGUAAAGCUCUGUUGGUAGUGAAGAAAGAUAGAGGUAGUAACUGGCCUUUAUUUGACGGUAAUUACUUAGAAAGUCACGGCUAACUACGUGCCAGCAGCCGCGGUAAUACGUAGGUGGCAAGCGUUGUCCGGAUUUAUUGGGCGUAAAGCGAGUGCAGGCGGUUCAAUAAGUCUGAUGUGAAAGCCUUCGGCUCAACCGGAGAAUUGCAUCAGAAACUGUUUGACUUGAGUGCAGAAGGGGAGAGUGGAACUCCAUGUGUAGCGGUGGAAUGCGUAGAUAUAUGGAAGAACACCAGUGGCGAAGGCGGCUCUCUGGUCUGCAACUGACGCUGAGGCUCGAAAGCAUGGGUAGCGAACAGGAUUAGAUACCCCUGUAGUC
rnacentral:rRNA from 1 species